UUCUUGUAUUCUCUGGACAGAUUGUGGCACUGUUCCUGAAGAAGCAUGAAAAGUGGAGAGGUAAGAAGUCUCUCGGGUAACAUCGUUUCUCAUUUCUUUGUGUGUUCUUUCACUAAUUUGGAUCACAAGGCUCCACAGCACAUAUCCAAACAGCCAGUGUUCAACAAACCUGCCAGAUUUAUGGAGUCAGUACAUUGAGAACUUUUCCAUUCUCUGUUAAGAUGGCGUGUAGGCUACCAGUGUUUUCUUCCACGAGUGGUCGUGACGUACUGCACUUUUCAUACGGUUCUAGGUGCAUAAUACGUCUCAAACGAAUCGAGCAACCGCUUAUGAGAAAUCGAGCUUUCAGCAGCUCCUACGAAGAUGCUAUGAAGACAAAGGCAGAGAGGAAUGCCCUCUUCACGACUGUGCUCGAGAAGUUGGGAGAGAGCGGCAAGGCACGGCGAUAAAGCGAAAGGACACCUCCGUGAGUGCAUUGAGCCGGAGCACGAGCACCGUCACAGACGCUUCGGCAGCAGUCAAAGGUGUGACACCAGGCACCCGGGGUCGGGCCGCCCGCUUCCAGCCGCGCCUGUUUGUACCAGUUGAAGGUUCUGUUUUCCCGACGAAGACGACGAUCCCGGAUCUGUGACCGAAGGACGAUGUCGCAGAACCCCAACCAGUUUCUCUCUGUGAACACCGGCUCCAGUGAAACACGCGACCCACCGAGGGAGAAGGGCACCGGAACGCCCAUGACCAGG